rnacentral:rRNA from 1 species
GACCCCGCACAAGCGGUGGAUCAUGUUGUUUAAUUCGAAGAUACGCGAAGAACCUUACCAGGUCUUGACAUACUCUGCAAUGCUAUAGAGAUAUAGCGGAGGUUAUCAGAUGUACAGGUGGUGCAUGGUUGUCGUCAGCUCGUGUCGUGAGAUGUUGGGUUAAGUCCCGUAACGAGCGCAACCCCUAUUGCUAGUUGCCAUCAUUAAGUUGGGGACUCUAGCGAGACUGCCAGUGAUAAACUGGAGGAAGGUGGGGAUGACGUCAAAUCAUCAUGCCCCUUAUGACCUGGGCUACAAACGUGAUACAAUGGCUGGAACAAAGGGAUGCGAAGCAGUGAUGUGGAGCUAAACCCAGAAAAACAGUCUCAGUUCGGAUUGAAGUCUGCAACUCGACUUCAUGAAGCCGGAAUCGCUAGUAAUCGUGGAUCAGAACGCCACGGUGAAUACGUUCUCGGGGUUU